GUAGGGUGCGAGCGUUAAUCGGAAUUACUGGGCGUAAAGCGUGCGCAGGCGGUUGUGUAAGUCAGAUGUGAAAUCCCCGGGCUCAACCUGGGAACUGCAUUUGAGGCUGCACGGCUAGAGUGUGGCAGAGGGGGGUAGAAUUCCACGUGUAGCAGUGAAAUGCGUAGAGAUGUGGAGGAAUACCGAUGGCGAAGGCAGCCCCCUGGGCCAAUACUGACGCUCAUGCACGAAAGCGUGGGGAGCAAACAGGAUUAGAUACCCUGGUAGUCCACGCCCUAAACGAUGUCAACUAGGUGUUGGAAGGGUUAAACCUUUUAGUGCCGUAGCUAACGCGUGAAGUUGACCGCCUGGGGAGUACGGCCGCAAGGCUA
rnacentral:rRNA from 1 species